GCGCCCAUAGUUCAAUUGGAUAGAGCGUCUGGCUUCGAACCAGAAAGUUACGGGUUCAAGUCCUGUUGGGCGUACCA
rnacentral:tRNA from 1 species